GAUGAACGCUGGCGGCGUGCCUAAUACAUGCAAGUCGAGCGAACAGACGAGGAGCUUGCUCCUCUGACGUUAGCGGCGGACGGGUGAGUAACACGUGGAUAACCUAUCUAUAAGACUGGGAUAACCUCGGGAAACCGGAGCUAAUACCGGAUAAUAUAUUGAACCGCAUGGUUCAAUAGUGAAAGACGGUUUUGCUGUCACUUAUAGAUGGAUCCGCGCCGCAUUAGCUAGUUGGUAAGGUAACGGCUUACCAAGGCAACGAUGCGUAGCCGACCUGAGAGGGUGAUCGGCCACACUGGAACUGAGACACGGUCCAGACUCCUACGGGGGGCAGCAGUAGGGAAUCUUCCGCGAUGGGCGAAAGCUUGACGGAGCAACGCCGCGUGAGUGAUGAAGGUCUUCGGAUCGGAAAACUCUGUUAUUAGGGAAGAACAAAUGUGUAAGUAACUAUGCACGUCUUGACGGUACCGAAUCAGAAAGCCACGGCUAACUACGUG
rnacentral:rRNA from 1 species